rnacentral:misc_RNA from 1 species
GAUGAAGAACGCAGCGAAAUGCGAUACUUGGUGUGAAUUGCAGAAUCCCGUGAACCAUCGAGUCUUUGAACGCAAGUUGCGCCCGAAGCCAUCAGGUUGAGGGCACGUCUGCCUGGGCGUCACAUAUCGUUGCCCAAUGCCUAUUGCAGUGCAAUAGGAAUUUCUAGGGCGAAUGAUGGCUUCCCGUGAGCGUUGUUGCCUCGCGGUUGGUUGAAAAUCGAGUCCUUGGUAGGGUGUGCCAUGGUAGAUGGUGGUCGAGUUAGAACGAUACCGAUCAUGUGCAUGCUCCCCAAAAUAUGGCCUCUAUGACCCACACGCGUCUUUUGACGCUCAUGACGAGACCUCAGGUCAGGAGGGGCUACCCGCUGAAUUUAAGCAUAUCAAUAAGCGGAGGA